GUCACGUGCGGCCCUGAUGCACCAGGAUAUCUACAUUCACCACCAGCACCAGCACCAGCCAGAGGGUCUGCUCCCAGGACAGUGCUAGAGCCACAGUCAGCCCCAGAGUCCCCCUGUUCCUCUCCUGUAAAGAACCAACCCACUGAGGAGCUGCCUGAUGUCACGACCUUCCCUCCCAGGCUGCUGGCAGAGCAGCUGACCCUUAUGGAUGCGGAGCUGUUCAAGAAGGUGGAGCUCUACGAAUGUUUGGGCUCCAUCUGGGCCGACGACUAAGAAGGGAAUGAGCACGUGGCACCCACAGUUCAUGCUACCAUCGCACACUUCAACAGGCUCGCCAACUGCGUCACCACCUCCUGCUCGGGAACCAUGGCAUGAGGGCCCAGGACAGGGUCACGGUGGUGGAACACUGGAUCAAAGUGGCCAGAGAGUGCCUAAGCCUCAACAACUUCUCCGCGGUGCACGCCAUUGUUUCUGCUCUGUGCAGCAACCCAAUACAUCGGCUACACGAGACAUGGGCAGCAGUGUCCAGCAAAAGCACAAAACAUCUAAAACAACUCUGCAAAACAGACACUGCAAUGAAGCGGGACCUGCUGAUCAAGGUACAGUGAAGUCUGGGAGAUGUGGGACAAGUGUUUAAGGGUCAGAGGAAAGACUGAGUUUGGAAGGGCAUUGGACCCGGUGUGCAGUGGUUAUUUUGUUUUGUUUUGACUCAUCUACUAAGAGUGGACUUGAAAAUUUUCCUCCAUGCCUACCUAGGGCCAACAGGGAGAGAGGUGUGUGGUCCAUGGGCAUGUGGCAGCACGGGGGUAGGAGGCCCUGGAAAUGGGAUGUGGCAACGGCUGCUGGGCUGCCGAGCCGGGGUGAUGAGUUGCAGCAUUAGCAGGGUUCUGGCUCCCCUGCUGGUCCAUCCUGCUGGCAUGGAGCUUCCUCCAGGCUGGGGGAUGGUUAUGGUAGUUGGGACUUUCUUCUUCCACAAACUGGGCCGGCAAUUCCUGAGGAAGCCAGGCCUCUGCUGCUGCUUCUGUCUGCAGCGCACCUCCAUGGGCAGGGGGCCUCUGCCCACACUGGGGCAGAGGGGGAACGAAAACAAAGGAAGAUCAUGUGCCAGGGAGUCCAGUGGACCUCACAGCUAUGGGUACCAAUGGGGAUGCUCAGGACAGACAUACGUGUUUCCUGGGACUCCCCACUCUGCCCUUUGCAGAUACCCGAAAACGGUCAUGUCACAGGACUGUCACC
rnacentral:lncRNA from 1 species